rnacentral:rRNA from 1 species
UACAGGGGGUGCAAACGUUGCUCGGAAUCAUUGGGCGUAAAGCGCACGUAGGCGGUUCGUUAUGUCGGAUGUGAAAGCCCUUGGUUUAACCGAGGAAGUGCAUCCGAAACUGGCGAGCUAGAGUACUAAAGAGGAUCGCGGAAUUCCCGGUGUAGAGGUGAAAUUCGUAGAUAUCGGGAGGAACACCGGUGGCGAAGGCGGCGAUCUGGGUAGAUACUGACGCUGAGGUGCGAAAGCGUGGGGAGCAAACAGG